rnacentral:ncRNA from 12 species
AGAAGCUGAGGACGGAACAGGUAUCCGUCACCCUAUCUUCUUAUAGAUAGUUGGAGAUGCAGAUUACCACCUGCCUCUUCU